rnacentral:rRNA from 1 species
GACGAACGCUGGCGGCGUGCUUAACACAUGCAAGUCGAACGAUGAUGCUGGAGCUUGCUCCAGUUGAUUAGUGGCGAACGGGUGAGUAACACGUGAGCAAUCUGCCCUUGACUCUGGGAUAACUGCGGGAAACUGUAGUUAAUACCGGAUACUUUCACCGGGGGGUAUCCUCUGGUGAUGAAAGAAUUUCGGUCAAGGAUGAGCUCGCGGCCUAUCAGCUUGUUGGUGAGGUAACGGCUCACCAAGGCGACGACGAGUAACCGGCCUGAGAGGGGAACCGGUCACACUGGGACUGAGACACGGCCCAGACUCCUACGGGAGGCAGCAGUGGGGAAUAUUGCACAAUGGGCGCAAGCCUGAUGCAGCAACGCCGCGUGAGGGAUGAAGGCCUUCGGGUUGUAAACCUCUUUUAGCAGGGAAGAAGCGAGAGUGACGGUACCUGCAGAAAAAGCACCGGCUAACUACGUGCCAGCAGCCGCAGUAA